GACGUAGGGCGCGAGCGUUGUCCGGAUUUAUUGGGCGUAAAGGGCUCGUAGGCGGCUUGUCGCGUCGACUGUGAAAACUCGAGGCUCAACCUCGAGACGUCGGUUGAAACCGUUUGGCUAGAGUCCGGAAGAGGAGAGUGGAAUUCCCGGUGUAGCGGUGAAAUGCGCAGAUAUCGGGAAGAACACCCGUGGCGAAGGCGGCUCUCUGGGACGGUACUGACGCUGAGACGCGAAAGCGUGGGGAGCGAACAGG
rnacentral:rRNA from 1 species